AUGUCUGACAACAUAAGUCCACUAACUUUGUCAGAGGCCAUGGCAGAGACACAGUUGACAGUGGAGCAAGGUGACAAGCACAUUGGGCAGAGUAAUGUUCUUCAAUCACCUACGAAACAGACGUUCAAGUCACCUCCAAAUGACACUACUGCCGUUAUACCAGACUCGGGGGACAAGUUCGCCAGCUCCUCUCAUCAGUCCGUUUCAGAGGAAGGAACAAAGAUCGCUGGUCAAAAGGCUGAUGCUAAAAAAACUAAAAGCAAGAAAAAUAUGGCCACCUUGGACCAGAAUGCUGAAGACCAGAUUGUGAGCCGGAAUAGGAAACCCGACCUACAAGGCCAGGACUCUGCGCAAACUACUGCUGUUGUUAAGGAUAUCUGUUUUGGUUCUCAAAAGACCGAGACCAUAGGUUCGAGUGUUGACCCACCGGAAGUGGAGCCUAUGGAGGUGGAGCAGUCUGCCGAUGAGAAAGGAGAUGCCUCCUUUUCACCAACUAGUCCAGAUUUUAAGAUGGAACCAAAGGACAACACAAUAGUUGGAUCUGAGACAGAGAGCAAAGGUGCCAGUGUUGACCGACAUGUGGAGCCUAUGGAGGUUGAGCAGUCUGCCCAUUGGAAAGGAGAUUCCUCCCAUUCACCAACUAGUCCAGAUUUUAAGAGGGACAACACAAGUGAUGCCUCUGAAACUCUGGCUGGACCACCGCCAGAAAGGUAUCCAACAUUUUCUUCUAGUCAGAAGUCACUCAACACUCAUACUUAUUUUAAAUGAUCUUAACCAAGACAAUUCCUGCUCACUUCAUCUUAAGACAAAAUUCAUCUGAUUUUGUUUUUCUUUGUUCCAAUUUCAGCACAGCCAUGGUUGGAUCAGAGGUAUCGUAGCUACUUCAAUUUUAGCCCUUUUACACUGAUACCUGUAUGCGGGUUGAAAAUGGCAGAUUUGGGCACUGAUAUGCGCCUAAAUUGGAUCGCAGUGGCUGCAGGGCCGUAACUAGGGUUUGAGUUUUAGUGCAGUCCGUAAGGAUGCUGUAGGUUCAUUCACUUCAGUCGAUCUACAAAAAAACAUUUAUUUGAUAAGUAUAGUACAGGUUCUUUUAGGGGACCCCAUAUGGUGCCCUGACCCCAAGUUUGGGAACCACUGUACAAACCUCUUUCUGCUUGCUUCCUCCCUCUGUCUCCUCUGUUUCCUCUUGCAUGCUUUGCAGCCUGCCAAAGCCUCACCACUGAGCUCCACAUCACUGUCUGUCUCCGUAGCAAAGCAUGUGAGCGGAGUUGAGCGGUUUCCUGCUGCUCUGCUAAAAACCUCUUAGUGCUUACAGGAUCACAGGGGAAAAGAACUGCAGCUCCAAAUUCAUUCUAUUCAUUAAAAUCGCAAUUUAACCAACACCCAUCUAUUUUUGUUACUACCUGGACCUACCAAUUGGUUUAUAUUUAUUGAAACCAAACCAUAUGGACUUGAAUGAAAAGUAUUUUAAUAAACAUGGAAAGGUGAAUGUAAGAAGCGAACAUAAUUUCAAAUGGGCUACAUGUCAUAUUAAACAUAAUAUUCAGUGCCUUUGGAAAGUAUUCAGACCCUUUGAAUUCUUCCACAUUUUGUUCAUUACAGCCUUAUUCUAAAAUGAAUCAAAUAAAAACAAUCCUCAUCAAUGUAUACACCAUACCUCAUAAUCACAAAGCAAAAACAGGUUUUUAGAUUUUUUUACAAUACAUAAGUAUUCAGACCCUUUACUCUGUACGUUGUCUUGGGUGUGAUGCUGAGAGCUUGGCACACCUGUAUUUGGGGAGUUUCUCCCAUUCUUCUCUGUAGAUCCUCUCAAGCUCUGUCAGGUUGGAUGGGGAGCGUCGUUGCACAGCUAUUUUCAGGUCUCUGCAGAGAUGUUCGACUGGGUUCAAGUCUGGGCUCUGGCUGGGCCACUCAAGGACAUUCAGAAACUUGUGCAUCCAUCCUCCCAGUCUCUGCCGCUGAAAAACAUCCCCACAGCAUGAUGCUGCCACCACCAUGCUUCACCGUAGGGAUGGUGACAGGUUUCCUCCAGACGUGACGCUUGGCAUUCAGGCCAAAGAGUUCAAUCUUGGUUUCAUCAGACCAGAGAAUCUUGUUUCUCAUGGUCAGAGUCCUUUAGGUGCCUUUUGGCAAACUCCAAGCGGGCUGUCGUGUUUUUUACUGAGGAAUGUCUUCCGUCUGGCCACUCUACCAUAAAGGCCUGAUUGGUGGAGUGCUGCAGAGAUGGUUGUCCUUCUGGAAGGCUCUCCCAUCUCCACAGAGGAACUCUGGAGCUCGGUCAGAGUGACCAUUGGGUACUUGGUCAACAUAAAGGCCAUUCUCCCCAGAUUUCUCAGUUUGGCGGCUAGCUCUUGGAAGAGUAUUGGUGGUUCCAAACUUCUUCCAUUUAAGAAUGAUGGAGCCCACUGUGUUCUUGGGGACCUUCAAUGCUGCAGAAAUGUUUUGGUACCCUUCCCCAGCUUUCUGCCUCAACACAAUCCUGUCUUGGAACUCUACGGACAAUUCCUUCGAUGUCAUGGCUUGGUUUUUGCUCUGACAUGCACUGUCAACUGUGGGACCUUAUAGACAGGUGUGUGCCUUUCCAAAUCAUGUCCAAUCAAUUAAAUUUACCACAGGUGGACUCCGAUCAAGUUGUAGAAACAUCUCAAGGAUGAUCAGUGGAAACAGGAUGCACCUGAGCUCAAUUUCGAGUCUCAUAGCAAAGGAUACAUAUGUAAAUCAGUUAUUUCUGUUUUUUUUUAUUUUUAAUACAUUUGCAAAAAUAAAUAAGCUGUUUUCACUUUGUCAUUAUGGGGUAUUGUGUGUAGAUUGAGGAAAAAUAUUAAUUUAAUCCAUUUUAGAGAAUGAGGCCGUAACGUGGAAAAAGCGAAGGGGUCUGAAUACUUUCCGAAAGCACUCUGAAUAGGUCCGGAGCCAGACAGGGAGUCUAAGAUGGAACCAAUAAUGAAUUAUUUAGGCUAUAUUAUUUCAAUUACUUCAAGGCUAUAGCCUACAAAGAAAUGCGUUGUGACAAAUUUCCUAGUGUGACACAAUAGGCUGGUAGGGACAUAAAGUGCUCAGCAUUUAAACAACAUUUCAUUGUAUUGAAUCAUUAUAGUUUAUAAAUUGUGCAUUUAGGCUGUGACUUACUUAGAAUGAAUUUUUUUUAUUUUUUAUUUUUAAAGAAACACGAGUUUGGUCAUCUGUGGGUUCAGGCUCAUGUGAUGGUGCCUGGAGAGCUGACCUGCAGCGGAGAAUAUCCUGUCAGCACGUGUAGAUAUAUAUAUCUUAAAAAAAUAUAUAUAUAUA
rnacentral:lncRNA from 8 species